rnacentral:misc_RNA from 1 species
GGAAGUAAAAGUCGUAACAGGGUCUCCGUUGGUGAACCAGCGGAGGGAUCAUUACCGAGUUUUCUACUCCCAAACCCCUGUGAACUUAUACCUUUACCGUUGCUUCGGCGGGUUAACGCCCCGGAAAGGCCCCCGAAAGGGAGCCGCCCCGGAACCAGGCGCCCGCCGGGGGACCCAAACUCUUGUAUUUUCUUACCUAGCAUGUCUGAGUGGAAUCAUAAACAAAUGAAUCAAAACUUUCAACAACGGAUCUCUUGGUUCUG